rnacentral:rRNA from 1 species
GACGAACGCUGGCGGCGUGCUUAACACAUGCAAGUCGAGCGGAGCGGAGAACGGGCGAGUAACUCGUGAGUAACUGCCCCCCGCUCUGGGAUAACAGUUGGAAACGGCUGCUAAUACCGGAUAGUGGUGGAUGGCUCGGGGCCUAUCAGCUUGUGGGUGGGGUAGUGGCAGACCAAGGCGACGACGGGUAGCCGGCCUGGGAGUGCGACCGGGCACAUUGGGCUGAGUGAGGGCCCAAUGUGCUACGUGGCGCAGCAGUGGGGAAUAUGGCACAAGGGGGGAGACCCUGAUGCAGCAACGCCGGGGUCGUGAUGACGGCCUUGGGGUUGUAAACCGCUUACAGUCAUUACGCGGUAGUGGCAGAAGAAGCACCGGCUAACUACGUGCCAGCAGCCGCGGUAAUUC